GUUGGACUUAUCCAACUCUUAGAGUUGGAUAAGUCCAACAUACCAUAAUAUUAGUUCUUGUGUCAAUUUGUGAAACACAAAAAAAAAAUUUUAAACACCUUGUUUAUAAUUGGACUAAUUGUUUUAGGCGUCAAUUUUAACUAUUGUAAGAUACUAUAUAUACUGUUCUAUGCCAGGUACUCUGUUUCUUGCCAUUUUUGAAAAAGCCCCUGAG